GCACUGGCUUGGAACCUCUUUGUGUCUAGCCUGUGACCUCAGGGUCUAGAGACAGUGCCAGAGCAGAUGCAGCUUGAUCACAUCCAGAGUUGCUCUGUGCUUCCUUAGUGAUUCUUUUAGCUGCAGGCAACAUAA